AUUGAACGCUGGCGGCAUGCCUUACACAUGCAAGUCGAACGGCAGCACGGGAGCUUGCUCCUGGUGGCGAGUGGCGAACGGGUGAGUAAUACAUCGGAACGUACCCAGUAGUGGGGGAUAACGCGCCGAAAGGUUCGCUAAUACCGCCUACGACCUACGGGUGAAAGCGGGUGACCGUACGGCCUCGCGCUAGUGGAGCGGCCGAUGUCUGAUUAGCCAGUUGGCGGGGUAAUAGCCCACCAAGGCGACGAGCAGUAGCUGGUCUGAGAGGACGAUCAGCCACACUGGGACUGAGACACGGCCCAGACUGCUACGGGAGGCAGCAGUGGGGAAUUUUGGACAAUGGGGGCAACCCUGAUCCAGCAAUGCCGCGUGUGCGAAGAAGGCCUUCGGGUUGUAAAGCACUUUUGUCAGGGAAGAAAUCUUUCAGGCUAAUACCCUUGGAAGGAUGACGGUACCUGAAGAAUAAGCACCGGCUAACUACGUGCCAGCAGCCGCGGUAA
rnacentral:rRNA from 1 species